rnacentral:rRNA from 1 species
AGUGAACGCUGGCGGUAGGCCUAACACAUGCAAGUCGAGCGGCAGCACAGUAAGAGCUUGCUCUUACGGGUGGCGAGUGGCGGACGGGUGAGGAAUACGUCGGAAUCUACUUUUUCGUGGGGGAUAACGUAGGGAAACUUACGCUAAUACCGCAUACGACCUACGGGUGAAAGCAGGGGAUCUUCGGACCUUGCGCGAUUGAAUGAGCCGAUGUCGGAUUAGCUAGUUGGCGGGGUAAAGGCCCACCAAGGCGACGAUCCGUAGCUGGUCUGAGAGGAUGAUCAGCCACACUGGAACUGAGACACGGUCCAGACUCCUACGGGAGGCAGCAGUGGGGAAUAUUGGACAAUGGGCGCAAGCCUGAUCCAGCCAUACCGCGUGGGUGAAGAAGGCCUUCGGGUUGUAAAGCCCUUUUGUUGGGAAAGAAAAGCAGCAGGUUAAUACCCCGCUGUUCUGACGGUACCCAAAGAAUAAGCACCGGCUAACUUCGUG